rnacentral:rRNA from 1 species
CAGCCGCCGCGGUAAUACGAAGGGUGCAAGCGUUAAUCGGAAUUACUGGGCGUAAAGCGUGCGUAGGCGGUGAGUUAAGUCUGCUGUGAAAUCCCCGGGCUCAACCUGGGAAUGGCAGUGGAUACUGGCUCGCUAGAGUGUGUCAGAGGAUGGUGGAAUUCCCGGUGUAGCGGUGAAAUGCGUAGAGAUCGGGAGGAACAUCAGUGGCGAAGGCGGCCAUCUGGGACAACACUGACGCUCAUGCACGAAAGCGUGGGGAGCAAACAGGAUUAGAUACCCCCGUAGUCCCUGUCUCUUAUAC